GUAAUAUGUUACGGCGAGUAAAAGGGCUACGUCUUUCUGAUAUGCCUAAAUAGCUCUGAAAGUGCCACAGUGACGUAGUUUUUAUGGAAACAUAAAAAGUGGAACGCGGUAAACCCCUCAAGCUAGCAACCCAAAUUUCGGUCGGGGCACGGGAAAGCUGGAAACGAACAGACUUUCCUGACUGCAAUGAGCAGUAGACAGAUGAUUAUCGAAGGUGGUAGUACCUAGUACCACUGGAACAAAACAUGGCUUAUAGAA
rnacentral:RNase_P_RNA from 1 species